rnacentral:rRNA from 1 species
UGGGGAAUUUUGGACAAUGGGCGAAAGCCUGAUCCAGCCAUGCCGCGUGAGUGAAGAAGGCCUUCGGGUUGUAAAGCUCUUUUAGUCGGAAAGAAAGAGUUGCAAUGAAUAAUUGUGAUUUAUGACGGUACCGACAGAAAAAGCACCGGCUAACUACGUGCCAGCAGCCGCGGUAAUACGUAGGGUGCGAGCGUUAAUCGGAAUUACUGGGCGUAAAGGGUGCGCAGGCGGUCUUGCAAGUCAGAUGUGAAAGCCCCGGGCUUAACCUGGGAAUUGCGUUUGAAACUACAAGGCUAGAGUGCAGCAGAGGGGAGUGGAAUUCCAUGUGUAGCAGUGAAAUGCGUAGAGAUGUGGAAGAGCACCGAUGGCGAAGGCAGCUCCCUGGGUUGACACUGACGCUCAUGCACGAAAGCGUGGGGAGCAAACA